rnacentral:lncRNA from 1 species
CUUUGUCGUAAUUUAAAGGCAGAUGGCGGAUUCGGGGGUGGGGGCGAACAGGUCGUUAACCCUUGGGUUAAACAAAGUAUCGUGUUUUAGCUUAAAAUCGUCAAUAUUGUCUUUAGUCUCGCUACACUCGGUGAUAUUUUUUUUUAAUUUGAUAGAAUAACGCCCCUUUCAAAAUCCAGGACCGCCCCUAAAUGUUAACAUAGAUUUGAACUGUGCAGUAUACAUGUAUCUGAUGUAGUUAAUGCACAACUUUGCUGUGCAUUAUCCAGAUUAUAGCACAGUAAGAACAAAGAGAUUUUACUCUUGCCAUGUGUUAA